CAGUCGCCACGGGAAUACGGGGGGGGCAAGUGUUAUUCGGAAUGACUGGGCGUAAAGGGCACGUAGGCGGUGAAAAGGGUGGAAAGUGAAAGUCGCCAAAACACUGGCGGGGUGCUUUCUUGACCAUUUCACUUGAGUGAGAUAGGGGAGAGUGGAAUUUCGUGUGGAGGGAUCAAAUCCUAAGAUAUACGAAGGAACGCCAACCGCGAAGGCAGCUCUCUGGGUCCCCACUGACGCUGGGGUGCGAAAGCAUGGGGAGCAAACAGGAUCAGAUACCCCAGUAGUCCCUGUCUUUUAUACA
rnacentral:rRNA from 1 species